AACAAAUCUAAUAUUUUGCGAUUUUGAGCACUUCCUCAAUGAUUGUGCAGAAUCUAUUUGAAAGAAAACCAUAGAAAUGUUGUUUACAUUGGCAUUGCCCUACGAACAGUGGUGCGAAGGUGGUUUGAUAAUUAAGGAAUUCACAAGCAAUUUUUCAAUUCCUUUUGUGAAGUAUGUGGAUAAAUUUAAAUAAUUAUAUAACUGCGGAAAAUGUUGCAUUGCUUCAUUGGUGUUCAGUGGGAGUUGUUUAUAGUUGUGUUUUCGCAGAGAACAGGAAAGAAGGUUUCGCAUCUUGCUGUAAAAUAUCACUGUCGGAGAGUGAAAAAUAUCAAAGUAUUGUUGAUAGCUGUGUUGCUUUUGCUUCUUGCUCCUUGG
rnacentral:lncRNA from 1 species